rnacentral:tRNA from 2 species
GGGUGUUUAGCUCAGUUGGUAGAGCGGCGCCCUUACAAGGCGUAGGUCGCAGGUUCGACCCCUGCAACACCCACCA